rnacentral:rRNA from 1 species
AUACGGAGGACGCGAGCGUUAUCCGGAUUCAUUGGGUUUAAAGGGUGCGCAGGCGGCCGUGCAAGUCAGCGGUGAAAGCCCGGGGCUCAACCCCGGAAGUGCCGUUGAUACUGCGUGGCUGGAAUGCGGUCGAGGCGGGCGGGACGUGGCGGGUAGCGGGGAAAUGCGUAGAUAUGCCACAGAACGCCGAUAGCGGAGGCAGCUCGCCAGGCCUGCAGUGACGCUCGGGCACGAAAGCGUGGGGAUCGAACAGGAUUAGAUACCCUGGUAGUCCACGCCGUAAACGAUGGGCGCUCGUCGUCGGCGACAGACAGUCGGCGGCCAAGCGAAAGCGAUAAGCGCCCCACCUGGGGAGUACGGUCGCAAGGCUGAAACUCAAAUGAAUUGACGGGG